AGUCCCGUAGCUCAAUUGAAUAGAGUGUCAGAUUCCGGUUCUGAAGGUUGCGGGUUUGAGCCCCGCCGGGACUA
rnacentral:tRNA from 2 species